rnacentral:lncRNA from 1 species
CAUAGAUACCUAGCACUGUCUCAGGAGAUGAAGAAUGCUUAAGGAAGAUGAUUUCUAGGUUGUAUGAAGGAUGAGUUGCUGUGGACUUAAUUGCAUCUCCCUGUCCCACCCCCACCACGCACACAGAGAAAAAAAUUCGUUUGUUAAAGCCCUAAACCUUAAUGUGACUUUAUCUGGAGAUAAGAUCUUUAGGAAGUAAUUGUGAUUAAAUGAGUAAAUGCUCAAAGUUCAUAAGAGUAGAGCUCAAAUUCAUUAGGACCAUGGUCUCUAGGACUGUGAGAAAAUCAAUUUCUAUUUAAGCCACUUGGUGUGUGGUAGUUUGUUAUGACAGCGAAACCAACAAAGACAGAGGAGUCGAAGAAUGAGAAAGACUACUGCAGACGGAUCGGACAGAUGGGCAAAGGCCCUGAGAUGAGAGAGAGAAAUUUGAAGGGCUCUAAGUAAACGUGACUGUUCUCAGUCUUAUUCUCUCCUAAAGAGAUUUCAUCCCUCUUCCAAACCCGCCACAUCUAAGCAGAGGCCAAGUUCAAUUAUAUUUGCUUUCUCAGUACUUGGCAAUUCCCUGCCAUCUCUCUCUGGCCCUCUCACCUUGGUUACUGCACCAAUAUCCUACUACGCUCCUUGCCUCUAGUCUCCUUCUCUCUGGGAUAUUUUCUAUACUUUUCAAAAGGUAAAAUGGAUCAUAUCACUCUCCUGUUUUAAAAUCUUCAGUGGUUCUCUCUCUUUUAUUUAUUUUUUAUUUUUAUUUAUUUUUUGUCUUUUUAGGCCCGCACCUACAGCAUAUGGAAGUUCCCAGGCUAGGGACAGAAUCAGAGCUGUAGCUGCUGACCUACCCCACAGCUCAUGGCAACACGGAUCCUUAACCCACUGAGCAAGGCCAGGGAUAGAACUCACAUCCUCAUGGACACUAGUCACGUUCGUUACUGCGGAGCUAAGAAGGGACCUCCCAUAAAAACUUCAGUGAGCUUUGGCCCUUAUAUCUCCAGGCUCAAUCUCACAGCAUCUGCCCCACAUUUUCCAUCCCCCAUACCCCAAGCCCAGGACCACCGAACCACCUGUAAGCACUGAGCACAUGUAUAUGCUUCAUCUCUCCCCGCUUUUGCACAAGCUAUUUUGUAAACUUCCUCUGAAGACACUGCUCUAAGCAUUUUACCUGACAGCAUCUUAAUCCUCACAACAACCAUAUGAAGUAAGUACUACUAGUCUCUCUAGUUUAUAGACAAUGAAACUGAGGCACAGAACAGAUAAAUGACUUGCUGGAGCUCAUACAGAUAUGUCGUAGCACUAGUUUUGAACCCCAAACUCUAGUUCCAGUCCGUCAUCAUAAAUAUUGUGCUGUACUAACCGACUUCACCUUGCUUUGCCACCGUGGUGCCCAUUCACCUGGUGAACUCUUUUUUUUUUUUUUAACCUGUUAAAGUCUUAUUCAUCCAUCACUACCCAACUCAAGCAUCACUCCCUCCAUGACACUUUCUCUGCUUCUUCAGUUAACCAGUCGCUUCCUUCCCAUCAUUGUCGUGGUGCCUUGGUCACACCCCCGGUAUUCUGUGUCCAUUAAAGAACCUGCCCAGCCCUGCACAAAGCUUAGACUAUACAUAAGAAUUUUAUCCUGCACCAUGGCAGUCCCCACAUUUAUUUCCUGAAUAAAUUGACUCAUAUGUACUUCUUUUUUGUCUCUUGAAAUCAAUUUACCAGCCCUCAUUCAUCCUCAGCCCCUUGCCCAACUUAGCCCUUCGCUUUGACACAUUGCUUAACUACUUCCUCAAAUCUCCCUUGAGUGACAUCUUUCCUGACCUCUCCCUCCUUUGACUGAAAACCCUUUCAUCAUGACCCUGGGGAGGUGCCACCAUGGGCGGCCAUCCCCGGAUGGGGCUGAUCCCCCAACUGGGUUCUAGACAGUUCAUAUUCAUUUGCUUUAGCUCUUUUCUUUGGCUUCACUAAGCUACCUCAUGGGGCAGGGGAGUUAUUGAAAGACUAGAUGUCUUACAGGAAAUCAGGAGAACUAAACAACCACGUCCAGGAAGACUAAGAACACUAGAAAGGUGGGACUGCGGCUCCUCAUGCUCAGUGCUUCAUCAUUGGCAUAACUCAGCUAAUAUCCACGAAGCCGCUUUUUCUAUUUCCCAUUAACAACUGGUUUAUUUCCCCCUGCUGUUCCACACAUUUUUUCCAAACGUCCUAACUUCUGAUUCUUCGCGGUGUCUGCUUCUUUGUAAUUUUGAUUUGCCAUAACCUCAUGAUUCUCUCCAUGUAAAUGUUCGACUUCAGCUCUUCCAAAUGCCUAGUUCACUUUGUGUUUCUAAUUUCAGUUUUCCCCAAAGCCGAAUGGUCCCAGCUCCUCUUUUCAUGACAUGUUAUGAAGCAUCGCUACUGUCCAUUCUAUGGAUUAGAAGUCUUUGAGUGCAGAACUAACCUCAAUCCAAAUAGCUGUGACAGUGGGCACAGGAUCGCACCAUGCAAAAAUUCACCAACUGUGCUGGACUUUCAGCAUAGGCAAUAAAUAGGGUGUUUUCCCUUAAAAAAAAAAAAAAAGUAUGGUAUAGAAUGUUCCAUGAUUCACACAUGGAGUAAUUUGGAUUAAUGAUUCUUUAAUAUUUUUCAACAUAGAUUUUUCCGAGAAUCAGAUGAAAGCUAUGGACCCUUCCCAAGAAAAAGUUCUCUUAUGCAGAAAAUUUCACAUAUACCUUUAGGAUAUCUGUGGACCCCAGCAG